rnacentral:rRNA from 1 species
GCCCCAGACUCCUACGGGAGGCAGCAGUGGGGAAUAUUGCACAAUGGGGGAAACCCUGAUGCAGCGACGCCGCGUGAGUGAGGAAGUAUUUCGGUCUGUAAAGCUCUAUCAGCAGGGAAGAAAAUGACGGUACCUGACUAAGAAGCCCCGGCUAACUACGUGCCAGCAGCCGCGGUAAUACGUAGGGGGCAAGCGUUAUCCGGAUUCACUGGGUGUAAAGGGAGCGUAGACGGCCAUGCAAGCCUGGAGUGAAAGCCCGGGGCCCAACCCCGGGACUGCUCUGGGAACUGUGCGGCUGGAGUGCGGGAGGGGCAGGCGGAAUUCCUGGUGUAGCGGUGAAAUGCGUAGAUAUCAGGAGGAACACCGGUGGCGAAGGCGGCUUACUGGACAGUGACUGACGUUGAGGCCCGAAAGCGUGGGGAGCGAACAGGAUUAGAUACCCCAGUACC